rnacentral:rRNA from 1 species
CCUACGGGAGGCAGCAGUGGGGAAUAUUGGACAAUGGGGGGAACCCUGAUCCAGCCAUGCCGCGUGUGUGAAGAAGGCCCUCGGGUUGUAAAGCACUUUCAGUGAGGAAGAACGCCUGGUGGUUAAUACCCAUCAGGAAAGACAUCACUCACAGAAGAAGCACCGGCUAACUCCGUGCCAGCAGCCGCGGUAAUACGGAGGGUGCGAGCGUUAAUCGGAAUUACUGGGCGUAAAGCGCGCGUAGGUGGCUUGAUAAGCCGGUUGUGAAAGCCCCGGGCUCAACCUGGGAACGGCAUCCGGAACUGUCAAGCUAGAGUGCAGGAGAGGAAGGUAGAAUUCCCGGUGUAGCGGUGAAAUGCGUAGAGAUCGGGAGGAAUACCAUUGGCGAAGGCGGCCUUCUGGACUGACACUGACACUGAGGUGCGAAAGCGUGGGUAGCAAACAGGAUUAGAUACCCCGGUAGUC